CUUUAGCAGCAGGAACAACCCGAGAGAGAGUGCUGCCAACGUGGCCACCACCCACACACUCAGCCCUGCCAUUGGGGACAAUUUGUCCGUAACAGCAGGAGAUGCCAGCAAUGACGGAGGCUCGGUAGAGCUUCCCUUCGAUUUCCCCGGAUCCACCGCCAAAGACAGCUCCUGCCGGUCAGGGAAAGAAAGCCGAUGUGAACAGGGUAAAGUCCUUUCAGAGCAGACAAGCAAACCACAGGCAGAUCGUGGCUUGGACUCAGCAAUGCAAUGAACUUUAGGUCCCAUCAGACCCGUCGAGGUUCCCCAGAUUCAGAGAACGUUUGGUUGAGACAUCAACAUCUUUUGGUUUGGUUCACUGUUCAUGAUGUGGUCUCCUAGAGAAGCCAGGGCAGCAGCCUGGACGAUUACCUUGUUUUAGGCUGCAAGCAAGAUCCAGGAUCCCAGCAGCCUCUUGUUUUCAUUGGCUAACCUGUUAACGUUCCCUCACAGGGUUACAGAGCUCAUCCUACUUGGAACAAUUUCAACAUAAGCUGUGUCUCCCUUUUACACUAUUUCUUUGCUUGAAUAUUUCCCAGAGGUAAAGCAUUGUAAUUAAUAGAAAUAAAUGUAUUAAUUGUAUUGGAGCACUGGUCUGAAAUACACAGGGAUGUGUUAUUGUAAGUUUUACUGGCUUUCCUUCUGGGUUAUUUGUCUUUCAGCUAGCACAUAGCAGCUCAAGGUAAAUGUUUUGUUUGGAUCACAGCAAUUGGUGUUGUGACCUGAACUAUUUCCAAUUUAUGUAACCCAUAUGAAAAGACACAAGGUACGAUUGCAAAAUUUGCUGAUGACAAAAAGAUGGAAACAGAAGUUGUGAAGAAGGCAUAAAGAUGCUGCAAAACAUUGUCAAUACAUUAAGUGAAGUGUAAC